rnacentral:rRNA from 1 species
UACGUAGGGACCAAGCGUUGUUCGGAUUUACUGGGCGUAAAGGGCGCGUAGGCGGCUUGCCAAGUCACUUGUGAAAUCUCCGGGCUUAACUCGGAACGGCCAAGUGAAACUGUCAUGCUAGAGUGCAGAAGGGGCAAUCGGAAUUCUUGGUGUAGCGGUGAAAUGCGUAGAUAUCAGGAGGAACACCGGUGGCGAAGGCGGAUCUCUGGGCCUGUCCUGACGCUGAGGCGCGAAAGCUAGGAGAGCGAACAGG